GGCCAGUGAUGGAUAAAAAUUGUCCGUACCAUCUGAGUUAUAUCUUUGAUGAGAUUUCUACUUUUUGCUUCUGAGGUCA